UACGUAGGGCGCAAGCGUUGUCCGGAAUUAUUGGGCGUAAAGAGUUCGUAGGCGGUUUGUCGCGUCUGCUGUGAAAACCUAAGGCUCAACCUUGGGCUUGCAGUGGGUACGGGCAGACUAGAGUGCGGUAGGGGUGACUGGAAUUCCUGGUGUAGCGGUGGAAUGCGCAGAUAUCAGGAAGAACACCCGUGGCUAAGGCGGCUCUCUAGUACGGUACUGACGCUGAGACGCGAAAGCGUGGGGAGCGAACAGG
rnacentral:rRNA from 1 species